rnacentral:snoRNA from 1 species
ACUCAAUGAUGAGAUUAACUUCAGGUCCGUGUAUUUGACACACAUGAUAUUUUCUGAAGCUCUGAGUCG